AUACGGAGGGUGCAAGCAUUAAUCGGAUUUAUUGGGCGUAAAGAGCACGUAGACGGGAAAGAAAGUCAGGUGUGAAAUUUCGAGGCUCAACCUCGAAGCUGCAUUUGAAACUGCCGACCUACGAAGGUUGUCGGAGAAAACGGAAUUCCACGUGUAGCGGUGAAAUGCGUAGAUAUGUGGAAGAACACCUGUGGCGAAAGCGGUUUUCUAGAUAAUUCCUGACGCUGAGGCGCGAGAGCUAGGGGAGCAAACAGGAUUAGAAACCCCAGUAGUCC
rnacentral:rRNA from 1 species